ACUAAAGGCAUGAGCUGCCAUGCCCUGCCUUUGCUGAUUUUCUUAGAUCGUAUUUUCAUGUGCCCUUUGCUACCUUUGUAUUGUCACCCAAGUUUAAAUUGUUGUGUUUCCAGUAGAGAACAGGAUAGGAAACUAUUGCCUGUAGGCUGAUAUUGACUUGUAACUAGUUUCCUCCAUAGCCACACUCAUUGGUUAUGUACCAUGUAUGGCUGCUUGUAUGCAUGUAUGGCAACUAACACAGGUGAUUAGUUGCAAGAGACUACAUGGCUCUAGAGCCUGUACCGCAGUAAGGCUCCCGAACCUUACAGAAAGAGCAGCCUUGCACAGCCUGUGGGUUCACUGAGUGGGGCUCAUUGUGUGUGGCUCAUUCAGUGCUUGGUGUGUGCACAAGAGUAAAUAAGGCAGUGAAGGAGCAAGAGCAUCACUACAGCAGAGUCAGACAGGAUUAAUGCCUAUUUGUAGUGUCGCUAUAACCAGUUAUCUCUUUCUGAUUGGGUAAAAAGAGGCUUUUCAUAAAAGGGAGGAAUGCCAGCAAGUAUAGCAUCCUUCUGUCUCUCCUGCGUGCUGACUUAUCGCAGUCAGAGCAGUGGGUUUUCUCCCUGGGUGUGGCAGUGGUGCAGGGCUUCCUCUGCAGUGUGUUCUGCUAAAUCACUCCUGAUGGCUCGAAACCAAAGUACUAAUUCUAACUUAUGAUUUGGUUACUUUAUGUUUCUGAGUCUCAAAUUUGUAGUAAUAGACCUCUGAUGACUUUGAAAGAUCACUUAUGAAAAGGUACUAUUAGCCCAAAGUAAAUUCACCACAGACCUAUCUUGGGAACUUUUCUGCACACGCACACAUAUUUGAGCAGGCAGCCCAAAGCCGCAUAUAAAAACCUGUACAUUCACCAGGCAGUGAUAGUGCACACCUUUAAUCCCAGCACUUUGGAGGCAGAGACAGGCGGAUCUUUGCGAGUUCAGGCCGACCUAGUCUACAGAGCGACUUCUAGAGCAGCAAGGGCUGUUAUACAGAGAAACUAUCUAAAAAGACUAAAGCCAAACCAAAUCAAAACAAACCAAAAGAAAAAACUAACCAAAACAAACCAUGUAUAUUCUCCACAGGUAAGUAAAGUCAAGAUGGGGAACUCAGAGCCACUCGGUUAAUCAAGGAGAAUAUUCAGAGUCAUAUGUCAACAUAUAUAAUAACAUCAUCUAAUGAAAUGUAAUGAUUGUAAAUUUCUUAAUUACAUUUUAAAAUUAUUUAUUUAUUGGAGCGUGCAUGUGGAGGUCAGAAGAUAGUUUCUGGGAAUUAGCUUUUCUCCUUCCAGCAUAUAUAUUCUGCAGAUCAAACUCAGGCUAUCAGGUUUGGUGGCAAGCACCUUACCUACUGAGCCCUCUUGCCAGCCCAUAACGUUCAUUCUUGGUAAACUCUGAAAUAGCAAACGUUCAAUAAGGUCUAUUUAUUUGGUGUAGAGAAAUAAAACUGAAUAAGAUGCUCUUUGUCCUACUUCUUGUGUAGUACAUUUAACAGUACAGAAUUGAACAUGCUGCUGUGUGAAUAUUGGAAAGCAAUAGAGAAAAGUAUAGGGUUUUAUAAAAAAAGAACUAAAACAGUCAGCAAAGGAGAAUUAUGGGAAAUAUGCCAAAAAGAUGACAAAUACCAUAAUUAAAAAGUAAAACU
rnacentral:lncRNA from 1 species